rnacentral:rRNA from 1 species
GACGAACGCUGGCGGCGUGCCUAAUACAUGCAAGUUGAGCGAUGAAGAUUGGUGCUUGCACCAAUUUGAAGAGCAGCGAACGGGUGAGUAACGCGUGGGGAAUCUGCCUUUGAGCGGGGGACAACAUUUGGAAACGAAUGCUAAUACCGCAUAACAACUUUAAACAUAAGUUUUAAGUUUGAAAGAUGCAAUUGCAUCACUCAAAGAUGAUCCCGCGUUGUAUUAGCUAGUUGGUGAGGUAAAGGCUCACCAAGGCGAUGAUACAUAGCCGACCUGAGAGGGUGGUCGGCCACAUUGGGACUGAGACACGGCCCAAACUCCUACGGGAGGCAGCAGUAGGGAAUCUUCGGCAAGGGCCGAAAGUCUGACCGAGCAACGCCGCGUGAGUGAAGAAGGUUUUCGGAUCGUAAAACUCUGUUGGUAGAGAAGAACGUUGGUGAGAGUGGAAAGCUCAUCAAGUGACGGUAACUACCCAGAAAGGGACGGCUAACUACGUG